AAACUUAGAUGUAUAACACAUACACACUCCGCCCGGGGACUACAAACAAAAGUUUGAAACCCAAAGGACUUGGCGGUGCUUAAUAUCCCCCUAGAGGAGCCUGUUCUAGAAUCGAUACCCCUCGUUAAACCUCACCCUCUCUUGUCCCCACCCCGCCUGUAUACCUCCGUCGUCAGCUCACCCUGUGAAGGCCCAACAGUAAGCAAAAUUUGGCACAGCCCAAAAAGUCAGGUCAAGGUGCAGCAUAUGAGGGGGGAAGAAAUGGGCUACAUUCCCUACCAGUAGGGGAUACGGAAAUAUAAAUUGAAAAAUAAUAUUGAAGGCGGAUUUAGCAGUAAACGGAAAAUAGAGUGUUCC
rnacentral:rRNA from 1 species